rnacentral:rRNA from 1 species
UACGUAGGUGGCAAGCGUUGUCCGGAUUUAUUGGGUUUAAAGGGUGCGUAGGCGGCUUAUUAAGUCAGUGGUGAAAUACUCUAGCUCAACUAGAGGGGUGCCAUUGAUACUGAUGAGCUUGAGUACAGAUGAGGUAGGCGGAAUUGACGGUGUAGCGGUGAAAUGCGCAGAUAUCAGGAAGAACACCCGUGGCGAAGGCGGCUCUCUGGGACGGUACUGACGCUGAGACGCGAAAGCGUGGGGAGCGAACAGG